rnacentral:rRNA from 1 species
UCCCGCCGGACCUGACUGCUAUCGGAUUGAUACUAAGCCAUGCGAGUCAUUGUAGCAAUACAAGGCAGACGGCUCAGUAACGCGUAGUCAACCUACCCUAUGGACGGGAAUAACCUCGGGAAACUGAGUAUAAUGCCCGAUAGAACAUUAUGCCUGGAAGGGUUUAUGUUCCAAAUGAUUUAUCGCCGUAGGAUGGGACUGCGGCCUAUCAGUUUGUUGGUGAGGUAAUGGCCCACCAAGGCGAUUACAGGUACGGGCUCUGAGAGGAGAAGCCCGGAGAUGGGUACUGAGACACGGACCCAGGCCCUAUGGGGCGCAGCAGGCGAGAAAACUUUGCAAUGUGCGAAAGCACGACAAGGUUAAUCCGAGUGAUUUCUGCUAAAGAAAUCUUUUGCCAGUCAUAAAACCACUGGUGAAUAAGGGGUGGGCAAGUUCUGGUGUCAGCCGCCGCGGUAAAACCAGCACCUCAAGUGGUCAGGAUGAUUAUUGGGCCUAAAGCAUCCGUAGCCGGCUUUGUUAGUUUUCGGUUAAAUCCAUGUGCUCAACGCAUGGGCUGCCGAAAAUACUGCAUAGCUAGGGAGUGGGAGAGGUAGACGGUACUCAGUAGGAAGGGGUAAAAUCCUUUGAUCUAUUGAUGACCACCUGUGGCGAAGGCGGUCUACCAGAACACGUUCGACGGUGAGGGAUGAAAGCUGGGGGAGCAAACCGGAUUAGAUACCCGGGUAGUCCCAGCUGUAAACGAUGCAGACUCGAUGAUGCAUUGGCAUAAUAGCCAGUGCAGUGUCGCAGGGAAGCCGUUAAGUCUGCCGCCUGGGAAGUACGUACGCAAGUAUGAAACUUAAAGGAAUUGGCGGGGGAGCACCACAAGGGGUGAAGCCUGCGGUUCAA